AUUGAACGCUGGCGGCAUGCCUUACACAUGCAAGUCGAACGGUAACAGGUCUUCGGACGCUGACGAGUGGCGAACGGGUGAGUAAUACAUCGGAACGUGCCCAGUCGUGGGGGAUAACUACUCGAAAGAGUAGCUAAUACCGCAUACGAUCUGAGGAUGAAAGCGGGGGACCUUCGGGCCUCGCGCGAUUGGAGCGGCCGAUGGCAGAUUAGGUAGUUGGUGGGAUAAAAGCUUACCAAGCCGACGAUCUGUAGCUGGUCUGAGAGGAAGACCAGCCCAACUGGGGAUGGGACACGGCCCCGACUCCUACGGGAGGCAGCAGUGGGGAAUUUUGGACAAUGGGCGAAAGCCUGAUCCAGCAAUGCCGCGUGCAGGAUGAAGGCCUUCGGGUUGUAAACUGCUUUUGUACGGAACGAAAAAGCUCCUUCUAAUACAGGGGGCCCAUGACGGUACCGUAAGAAUAAGCACCGGUUAACUACGUGCCAGCCGCCGCGGUAACAC
rnacentral:rRNA from 1 species